rnacentral:pre_miRNA from 1 species
ACUCGAGCCGCAUGUGACAAGGCUUCCUUCAAAGAGUUUUGUUCGUUCGGCUCGCGUUA